rnacentral:miRNA from 1 species
UACUCAGGAAGGCAUUAUUCA